rnacentral:rRNA from 1 species
CGGGGGGCAGCAGUCGAGAAUCUUUCACAAUGGGGGCAACCCUGAUGGAGCGACGCCGCGUGGAGGAUAAGGUCUUCGGAUUGUAAACUCCUGUCAUGUGUGAACAAGGUUGUCGUGUUAAUAGCAUGGCAAAUUGAUGGUAACACAAGAGGAAGAGACGGCUAACUCUGUGCCAGCAGCCGCGGUAAUACAGAGGUCUCAAGCGUUGUUCGGAAUCACUGGGCGUAAAGGGUGCGUAGGUGGCGUGGUAAGUCAGAUGUGAAAGCCCGGGGCUCAACCCCGGAAUUGCAUCCGAUACUACCAUGCUAGAGUACUGAAGAGGUGACUAGAAUUCUCGGUGUAGCAGUGAAAUGCGUAGAUAUCGAGAGGAAUACCAACGGCGAAGGCAGGUCACUGGGCAGUUACUGACACUGAGGCACGAAGGCCAGGGGAGCAAACGGGAUUAGAUACCCCAGU